CAAGCUCCCAAAGGAAAACACCCAUGUGGUUUUUGCCUGCUUGAGCAGAGGUAUCACAUGGAAAAGUGGAUCCGACUCUACGGCCUGAUGAAAGUGACAUGGAAAAAAUAAGUUAUGAAAUAUAACUUCUCUUCCUGAACUUUUGGAAAAGGCAGAGAUAACCUUUCCAUGUGCAAGACACAUGCAGGGAGCAAGCUUCCAGAUUCUGGUUUUCUACUGGGGCCUCCUUACGUGCAAGAUAAUUAAGUGCCAAUGCGACAGAGGAACAAUUUAAAGGGUAACGGAGAUACUUAAGUCUAGGUAUAUUCAAAAUAAACAUCCUAGCCAGGUCAACUUCUGGGUCCUCUCUGCAUGCCCCAGACACAUCACAUCUCUCUCUCUCUCUCUCUCUCUCUCUCUCUCUCUCUCACACACACACACACACACACACACACACACAUCCCUUAGAUUAUUUCCUGUGAAAUGCUAAGUAAAUAGAUCUCAGGCAAUGAAGAUGCUCUGUAGCUGGUGAUAGUAUCUGCGACUGUGAGACGUCACAUAGUGGGUUUGGAAAAUUCAACUGGCCACAGAGGAUGACAGUUUUGUCUGACCAAGGAGGGAAAGGGCAAAUAGCUUGAUUCUGGAAUAACAAAUUUGAAGUCAAUUUCACUUUACCACUGUGUAUGGCUGAGCAGACAGAGGUCAGCUUCAGGAUAAGACCGAGUUCAAGUCCUGCUUCUAUCACUUCUGUGCUGUGGCCUCAGGCAUGAGUCUGGGUGGGUUACAGAGAGGAAGCAGUAACAGCUCUCAGGCCUUCCCUGUCCAAAUGUCUCAGAUUGAAAUCUGAGUUUGACCUCUACUUCCAGCGUGGCCAGAACUAUGAUGUGAUCAAAAGAGCCCCUGGCCUUGCUGUCUGCCCUCACAGUUCCCACUGUUACUACAGGAUAUGGGAAAAACAGACUCCCCCAAAGCACAUCUAUAACAGACAGACAGCAAAUGCAGAUUAUUGAUUUGGGCUAUUGUUUUAGUAAAUCAACAUUCUUAGAGAAUUUCUCAGCUCUCAGGUGCCCACAUCUUAGAGUUAAGUCACAUUUUGAGGGUUGCCCAGGCAAAUUCAAAGCAGCACCAGGCCCUAGUGGCAGCUACUUCAUCUUUAGGCAGCAUUUCCCUCUCAACAGGGAGCAUGCCACCUCCCCUGGGUGCAGAUCCCAGGAAAAGUUACACUGACCAAAUCAGGCCACUCCCUGGGACUGUUUCCUCAAUUUUGGUUAAUAAUCAAAGGAUGAUCUGAAAUCGCAAAGAAGAGACUCUUGGAAAAGACAUAAUUAUGGUGCCACCCGACUUAGGAACUGGCAUCCAAGUCCACCUGUGUGACUUUCCUCUGGGCCUCAGUUUCUCCAUCUGUAAAAUGAGGUCCUGUAUUUAUUUUUUGAGACGGAAUCUCCCUCUGUCGCCCAGGCUGGAGUGAAGUGGUGUGAUCUCGGCUCACUGCAACCUCUGCCUCCCAGGUUCAAGCAAUUCUCUGCCUCAGCCUUCCGAGUAGCUGCUGGGAUUACAGGUACCCGCCACCACACCCG
rnacentral:lncRNA from 1 species